GAGGAAGCUGGCCUAGUACGACCCAUACGAUCCAGAGUUUAGUGACGACGAAGAAUAUGAGUAUGAUUCCGGAGAAGAUGUGUACAAGGGCAACGUCACGUCCUUCACAGCGAAGGAGGUGGAGAAGAUCAAGGCCAAGGGAGUUGCUUCCUUCUACAACCGUAAGAUCAAGAAGUGGCACUGCCCCUACUGCACCACCAAGCCAAAGCCAAAGGAUGGCCGCUUUGAUCACCUUGUGUCUCAUGCAGAGGAUGUAGCGAUUCGCGGGGAGGACUACAUGAUAAGUGGGUAGCAUGCUGCCCCCGUGAAGGCCCUGACUCCGGCGUUUAUGGUGUGAUGAACUGAAUCUAUGGUGAUGGUAGUAAUGUAUUAUGCUAUCUAUAUUUUUCUGUCCUUAAGUUUGCCUGUGGUGUAUGGUUAGUUCUGUUUAGAUGUUGUGAACUAUGAGUUUAGGUGCUGCAAUGAUCACACAUGUUGUUUCAGUGUUGCUUCACUGAUCAGACAUGCUGCUGUUUCUCACCAGUUUAUGUGCUGCAAUGACCAUGUUGUUUGAGUGUUGCUUCA